rnacentral:rRNA from 1 species
UACAGAGGUCCCAAGCGUUGUUCGGAUUCAUUGGGCGUAAAGGGUGCGUAGGCGGCGCGGUAAGUCGGGUGUGAAAUCUCGGAGCUUAACUCCGAAACUGCAUUCGAUACUGCCGUGCUUGAGGACUGGAGAGGAGACUGGAAUUUACGGUGUAGCGGUGAAAUGCGUAGAUAUCGUAAGGAAGACCAGUGGCGAAGGCGGGUCUCUGGACAGUUCCUGACGCUGAGACGCGAAAGCGUGGGGAGCGAACAGG